CUACGGGAGGCAGCAGUAGGGAAUAUUGGGCAAUGGGCGCAAGCCUGACCCAGCAACGCCGCGUGCGCGAAGAAGGCCUUCGGGUCGUAAAGCGCUUUUCUGAGGGAUGAGAAAGGACAGUACCUCAGGAAUAAGCCUCGGCUAACUACGUGCCAGCAGCCGCGGUAAAACGUAGGAGGCGAGCGUUAUCCGGAUUUACUGGGCGUAAAGCGUGUGCAGGCGGUCUGGCAAGUUGGAUGUGAAAGCUCCCGGCUCAACUGGGAGAGGUCGUUCAAAACUACCGGACUAGAGUGUAACAGAGGGAGAUGGAAUUCCCGGUGUAGUGGUGAAAUGCGUAGAUAUCGGGAGGAACACCAGUGGCGAAAGCGAUCUUCUGGGAUACUACUGACGCUCAGACACGAAAGCUAAGGUAGCGAACGGGAUUAGAUACCCGAGUAGUC
rnacentral:rRNA from 1 species